GUUCCUUAUUCCGUGGUGAUUUAGAGCUUUGGAUAUAGAGAUUUAUGGCUGCUGGAAGACAUGGGGACCAUCGCGAAAAUGAGUUCAGGGGUCGCGAGUCCAGUUUUGAUUUUCCAAGGAGGGAUUUUGCUACGGCCAAAGAGGACUAUGAAAGGAUUAGGAACGGAAGUCCUGAUGUUGAAAUGGGUCAAGCUAGGGAUUUGAGAGAUAAAAUUAGGGUUAGGCAGAAGGAUAUUAAGGAGGGGAAUGCGGCUAAUGGUGGGUAUCGCUCCUCUUCGGUUAGGAAUGAUUCAAGCAAUAGCAGUGGUUGGGUUGUGAGCCGUGGGCCCAAGCCUUGUGGGUUUUCGGUUAGGGCAUUGGAUAGGGAACCUGGUGAAUUGUCGAGUGAGAGUGGGUCUGACGAUGCUAUUGAAUCGGCAGUGCAGGUCAAAGAAAGUAUGGUUUCAAAAGUUGUGGAGAAUGGAACUCAGUCUCCAAAAGAGAAGAAAAGGAAGUUUUCGCCAAUUGUCUGGGAUAGAGAUGACAAAGGAGUGAGUAAUCCAUCAAAAAGUAAGAUCACCACGGCGGGUGCAGCAAUUCCUCCACCACCAUCAUUGUCUAGGGUACAUCAUCAGUCUCCUAAUGUUAUUUCAGAUAUCAGUGUACAAGUAUCUUCAGCUAAAAUUGAUCAAGUCGAGAAUUUACAAUCUUCCUCACCAGUUAAGGCGCCAGUGGCGUCUGGGUAUGUUAGUAAUGGUGUCUCUGAGUCUCCACUAGGGAUAUCUUCACCAAAUCAGCAAUCGGGUGAUGAUCAUGAAGCAGAGCAGCUAGAAGAUGAAGAAUAUGUCCCCACCCGUAAUAUAUCAUCUUCAAGAUGGGCAGCAGGAAACAUAUCACCUGGUGAUGAAGGUGAAAGUUUAGAGAACCAGGAAAUGCCUAAAAGGAGGAAGAAAACUCCUCUGGUAGGGUCAGUGGAAGAUAGAGUACAGAAUAAUUCAUUAAACUCAGAGUCGGGGGAGCUUAAGAGAGACGAGUCCGAACGAGCAAGAGCGCAGUCAUCUGAAUCUGAUGAAACAGAUGCCCGUAUAAGAUCUUCCAGUAGGGAUGAUUACCAUGAUAAUGAUUCAGAGAGGGAUGACUUUAUGGAUACUGACAAGGAUCAUGGUAAUAAUGAUUCUAGUGUUAGUAAGUCAGACACAGAUUCAGAUGAUGACAAUAACUCUCGCGAGACAGCAGAACCUGCAGCUCCUCCACAAAGAAGCGUGAACAUGCUUCAGGGUUGUAGAAGUGUUGACGAGUUUGAGAGACUAAACAAGAUCGAUGAAGGCACUUAUGGUGUUGUAUAUAGAGCUAUGGAUAAGAAAACUAAAGAAAUUGUGGCCUUGAAGAAGGUAAAGAUGGAGAAGGAAAGAGAAGGUUUCCCAUUGACUUCUCUUAGGGAAAUAAACAUUCUUCUUUCGCUUCAUCACCCAUCAAUUGUUGAUGUGAAGGAAGUGGUGGUGGGGAGUAACCUUGAUAGUAUUUUUAUGGUGAUGGAGUACAUGGAACAUGAUCUUAAAGCACUCAUGGAGACAAAGAAGCAGCCAUUCAGUCAGAGUGAAGUUAAAUGCCUUAUGCUUCAGUUAUUGGCAGGUGUGAAAUAUCUUCAUGAUAAUUGGGUGCUUCAUCGAGAUUUGAAGACAUCUAACUUGCUUAUGAAUAACCGGGGUGAGUUGAAAAUAUGUGACUUUGGGAUGGCUCGUCAGUACGGGAGUCCUUUAAAACCAUAUACUCAUUUGGUGGUUACACUUUGGUACAGGGCACCGGAACUUCUGUUGGGAGCGAAAGAAUAUUCAACAGCUAUUGAUAUGUGGUCACUUGGUUGUAUCAUGGCUGAACUAUUAUCAAAGGAGCCACUUUUCAAUGGGAAAACUGAAUUUGAUCAACUUGACAAGAUUUUUAGAAUCCUUGGCACACCAAAUGAGACAAUCUGGCCCGGAUAUUCCAAGCUUCCUGGAGUGAAGGUCAACUUUGUCAAGCACCCGUAUAAUCUUUUGCGCAAGAAGUUCCCAGCUACGCCAUUUACUGGAUCUCCAGUACUUUCUGAUGCUGGAUUUAAUUUGUUGAACAGGCUUCUAACUUAUGACCCUGAAGAGAGAAUUACAGCUGGAGAUGCUCUGAAUCAUGAGUGGUUUCGUGAAGUUCCUCUUCCUACAACGAAGGAGUUCAUGCCUACCUUUCCUGCUCAUCAUGCUCAGGACAGGCGCACGCGGAGAGUGUUGAAAAGUCCAGAUCCUUUGGAAGAGCAACGUAGAAAGGAGUUGCAGCAAGGGCAAAUAGGAACUGGUGGAGUAUUUGGCUAGUAGAAAUGAAUCAGUGAUCUGUGGCCUUGAUAUUGGACAUGGCUGAGGCGGUUGGUGUGAAGUGGAGGGGCAUUCUUUGCUUUUUCUAGAUGAAGAGUUUGACAGUUACCAUAUUAUUUUUUAAGUAUCAAAGCAAGCAAAUUGAGGAGGUUUCCUGCACUUCCAGGAAUUUAUAGAACUUCAUUUAGUUGUUCCUACGGGCAAACUAGAGGCACGGCUGGAGUCGAAUGGGUUGCUUGAAGAUGGAAUGUAGUUGUCUGCUUCCCAUAAACUUAACCAAAUAUCGUAUGAGAAGAAUCAGUAAGCCUAGGUGGAAUGUAGACAAAUACUUUGCCAUAUGCUUUUCUGCAGGUGGUGGCUGAUUGAGGCUCGAGAGGCAGAUUAAGGCGGUAGAGACAUCGCAUGCACAUACAGGUAAUUAGCUGAUGAAGUUUAUGCACAAUCACAGCUAACGAUCUGCCGUUGUGGGACUCGAUUCUGUCUGCAUUGUCGAAAAUGUUAGUUUGCAUUUGCGCACCGAUUAGUCUGUAGUGUAUUAAUCUCACUGCUUGUCUCGGUCCAUUCCAAAUAUAUAUAUAUAUAUAUAUAUUUUUUUU